rnacentral:misc_RNA from 1 species
GAAAUGCGAUACGUAAUGCGAAUUGCAGAAUUCCGUGAAUCAUCAAAUCUUUGAACGCAACUGGCGCUCUCAUUUACGUGAGAGCAUGCCUCUUUCAGUAUCGGUUCUAACACCACUCGUCAGCAUUGACGGACAAUGGGUCUACUAUUUGGUCUCACUUAAACUGAAACUAAAUUGACCUCAAGUGGAGAAAGAGGAUUAAAGAGCAAAACAAAAACUGUGAUCUUUUAUUCACUCGAGAGACAUGACGUAGGUAAUUUUUCACUUGCUGAAAAACUUUGACGUCGUAUCUCGCUUGCAGAGUGAAUAGCUAUAUAGGAUCCGACCUCGCUCUUAAUCUCUUAGUACUUGUGAGCUACUUGCACUUAACAAAGAGCAACACUCACAAAACCUAAACACUUUCUUUAACAACCAAUCUGAUCUGAAAUGAGGCAAGAGGACCCGCUGAAUUUAAGC